rnacentral:rRNA from 1 species
GUAGCAUAAUCAUUAGGGGUUUAAUUGGAACCUGGAAUGAAGGGUUGGACAAAAGAAAAGCUGUCUCUAGAGUAUAACUUGAAAUUUACUUUUAAGUGAAAAGGCUUAAAUAUAUCAGAGGGACGAUAAGACCCUAUAAAGCUUUAUAGAUAACUUAGAUUUGGGCAAUUUGAGUUAUAAUGACUAGGUUUAAUUAUUCUAUUUCAUUGGGGUGAUGUGAGUAUAAUUAAUAUUAACUGCUUAAAAUACAUACUACAGAUAAUAGAGUUAAUAAAUAAAUGAUCCUUUAUAGAGAUUUAAAGAUUAAGUUACUUUAGGGGUAACAGCGUUAUUUCUUUUGAGAGUUCAUAUCGAAAAAGAAGAUUGCGACCUCGAUGUUGAAUUAAAAUAUCUAUAUAAUGCAGCUGUUAUAUUAGGAGGUCUGUUCGACCUUUAAAUUUUU